rnacentral:rRNA from 1 species
GACGAACGCUGGCGGCGUGCUUAACACAUGCAAGUCGUACGGUAAGGCCCUUUCGGGGGUACACGAGUGGCGAACGGGUGAGUAACACGUGAGUAACCUGCCCACAACUUUGGGAUAACGCUAGGAAACUGGUGCUAAUACUGGAUAUGUGCUCCUGCUGCAUGGUGGGGGUUGGAAAGCUCCGGCGGUUGUGGAUGGACUCGCGGCCUAUCAGCUUGUUGGUGGGGUAGUGGCCUACCAAGGCGGCGACGGGUAGCCGGCCUGAGAGGGUGACCGGCCAGAUUGGGACUGAGAUACGGCCCAGACUCCUACGGGAGGCAGCAGUGGGGAAUAGGGCACAAUGGGCGCAAGCCUGAUGCAGCAACGCCGCGGGCGGGAUGACGGCCUUCGGGUUGUAAGCCGCUUUCAGCAGGGACGAAGCUUUUUGUGACGGUACCUGCAGAAGAAGCAGCGGCUAACUACGU